rnacentral:misc_RNA from 1 species
GGGAUAGAAGCGGCAUCCCGGCACCCCGAUGGUAAUCGGGGAGACGGGAUACAGCGGAUAGCCCGACCCGCC